rnacentral:lncRNA from 1 species
AGAAUCUCGAUCUAUUUAAUGUCUCAGUCUAUAGAGUACAAACUGUUUAGAAUUUCGAUUUAUUUAGUCUCAGUCUAUAGAGUGUAACUGCUUAGAACCUCGUUAUACUUAAAAUCUCAAUUUACAGAACUUAAUAGCUAUUUAUCGUUUAAAUAAUGGCUUUCAGAUAGAGCCUCGAAUACUCCUACAUAGAGCUUCAAUAUGUGAUAUCUAAUAGUUCUUUACUGUCUAAAUAAUGAAUCUAAAUUAAACUCCGUAUGUGAAGGAAGUAUUUAUUAUCUAAGUAGAGGUCUAAGUUUGCCUGUUUAUCACAUGCCACGAGUCUAAGUUAGGAUCAAAUUGAUCUAUUUAUUGACUACGUCAGUAGUUCUCAACGGGGGCCACCAGUAAAAGCAAAACCAAAGUAAACCAACGAGGUGGGUGAUACAGAGAUAAACGAACCAAAAAAAAAAAAAAAAAAGUUUGAGAACCACCGGAUCUAAGUAACGCUGAUGUAAGUCAGCUCCUGAUACGUUUUGUUUAUUGUUUAAAUCGUGGGUAUAAUCAUCUUUAAAGGUAGGUUCUAAGUCUAUUAUAAGUUAGAUAUAAUUUGAAACUUGAUGAUCUACAAAUUGGACGACUUAUCUACUUAAAGAACCACUCCCAUAAUCAUCUCUAAAUUAUUGUUUCAUUUAAUUUUAUCUAUGAAGUACCACAAAAGAAAAAAAAAUACUUCUUCGCGAUCGCUUUUUUUAACUACCGAGAUUGAUCGAAAAGAUUUUCUGUUCUUGUUGUUUUUUUCUGUAAUUCUGUAACUAAUUGUUCUGUCGUAAUUAAAAUCGAGUAUUUUGUCGUCGAAAUUAAUGUUGGUUUGUAUUUUUGUUUUUCGUUAGAACUCGAACUGCGAUGUUAAAUGAAUGGUAUAUAGGAACAAUUACCGGAUUUUGACGACGAAACGCAGGCUUACCGAAAAUAACAAAUUGAGAAAAAUUAGAUGUUAUAAAGAUAUAUGUGACAUAAUUCGUUUAAAAUUGGAUAUAUUUUCCUAUAAUUGUAUCAAUGCUGACGGAGUUUUCUCUCUCUCUCUCUUUUUUUUACCUUUAACGUUUGAUAUAUUAAAUGUGAAUAAUGUA